UAAACCCAUUCUGUAUAAACCCGUUUUAUAAAGUUCUAGAUCCAUUAUGGGUUCAUAUAUAUAUAUAUAUACACAUGUAGUUUCAUAUCCGAAUUAGGAUUCCUUUCUUCAUUUAAUCCCACCUGAUUUCAUCAAAGUCGGUGACUUAAUUGGUAGGAGUCCUUUCUUCAUUUAAUCCCACCUGAUUUCAUUAAAGUCGGUGACUUAAUUGGUGGCGAUCUCACAUACAUACCGUGCAUAUGUGCAUAUGUGCAUAUAUGCAUAUAUUUGGAUAUAUAUACAUGUAUGGACUGAGACCUCUUGAAAGUUAAGGCCCUGCUUGGAUUGUCACUAUGAAAAACAAAAAACCCAAAACUGCAAAUUGGGACGACUUGGAAGUGUUUUUCCGAAACUGCUUUUGGAGAGCAAUAAAAAGGUGUUCAGGGAGUUUUCGGAAACAAGAAGACGCACUCUUUGAAAACACGGAGAACUCUUUUCACUUAAACGAGAGUAAGAUAUCUCGUUUAUAACAUUACCCACAUCUCCUCAGCUGCACCAAGUGUUCUCUCUCUUCAAGGCUUGAAGCUCUCUCACUCUGACAGAUUUCUUUGCAAUGUCUCUCUUCAAGCUACAUCUCUCUCAGUUUCUUGCGCUUCUCUUAGGCAGAAAAGGUCGAUCUGCGUUUCUCUUCCUAUAAUCAUCUCUGUGUGCGGAUGCUGAAAAUAUUGGGGGAGAAAUGUGUGGAUGAAUGAUAAUUCCACAUUUUUUAGGAACAUGGAGCAAAGCAGCAGACCUUCCUUAGAGGAUUACUUGAAAGGAAGGGGUAGUUCAUCAAGCUUACAUUAGCUUCUCUUGUAUUCUAUUUAAACACCUUUUAUUUGUUUACAAGUAAUUUCUGCUACAAACCAAGGCUAACAGAGUGUGUAGUUCGUCCUUGUACCGUCAGGGAAAGGAAAAAAAAAAAAUUGCACCCCCUGAUGAGGUAGUUUAUGUUUGUAGGCACUGAAUUCAUGUAAAGUUAUUAAUGGAAGAAGCCCAAUUAAGAUAGAAAGGGUUCAAAGUUUGCAACACAAAAUAUGUGUCUUGAUUAAAGUUUUUUUUUUUUUUUUUUUUUUUUUU